UUCCUCCGCUGCGGUCCAGCUCGUAGCCGUAGUCACAGACGCAGCGGAACAUCCCCGGCAGGUUCUGACACGACCCGAACACGCAGAUGUUCUGGAAGUUGCACUCGUCGAUGUCUGACGGAUAACACACAGCGCUACGGUGUUGGUGGAGUCCAGCUUGCUGCCGUGGGAACAUUCGCAGUUGAAGGAACCGGCUAUGUUGCGGCACACGCCGUUGAUGCAGGGGUUGGAGUCGCACUCGUUGAUGUCUGAACGAAAGAACGACAGGUAUGAGGUGAUGUCUGGACAUUCUGAAAAGGAAGUUCACUUACGCUGUCCACAGUGAGUCCCUGUGUAGCCCUUCUGACACGAGCAGGCGUCUUCAUUACAGACCCCUCCAUUCAUGCAUCUGACGCUGCAGGACUGGACUGUACA